GAUGAAGAACGUAGCGAAAUGCGAUAAGUAGUGUGAAUUGCAGAAUUCAGUGAAUCAUCGAAUCUUUGAACGCACAUUGCGCCCUAAAGUAUUCUGUAGGGCAUGCAUGUUCGAGCGUCAUUUGUACCUUCAAGCUUUGCUUGGUGUUGGGUGUUUGUCCUCUCCCUGGUGUUUGGACUCGCCUUAAAACAAUUGGCAGCCAGUGUUUUGGUAUUGAAGCGCAGCACAAUUUGCGAUUCUGGCCUUAAAAUACUAGCGUCCAUAAGUACAUUCUCACUUUUGACCUCGGAUCAUGUAGGGAUACCCGCUGAACUUAAGCAUAUCAAUAAGCGGAGGA
rnacentral:misc_RNA from 1 species